AUACGGAAGGUCCGGGCGUUAUCCGGAUUUAUUGGGUUUAAAGGGAGCGCAGGCGGAGAUGCAAGCGUGACGUCAAAUUUCGGGGCUCAACCCCGUCUCGCGUCGCGAACUGCGUCCCUUGGUUGCGGGAAGGGGAGGCGGAACUCGUGGUGUAGCGGUGAAAUGCAUAGAUAUCACGAAGAACUCCGAUCGCGAAGGCAGCCUUCCGGCCCGUCAACGACGCUCAUGCUCGAAGGUGCGGGUAUCAAACAGGAUUAGAUACCCUGGUAGUCCGCACAGUAAACGAUGGACACCCGCGGUUUGGCCUGUAUGGCUGAGCCGCCAAGCGAAAGCGUUAAGUGUCCCACCUGGGGAGUACGCGGGCAACGGUGAAACUCAAAUGAAUUGACGGGG
rnacentral:rRNA from 1 species